rnacentral:rRNA from 1 species
UACGUAGGGUGCAAGCGUUGUCCGGAAUUAUUGGGCGUAAAGAGCUCGUAGGCGGUCUGUCGCGUCUGCUGUGAAAAUCCAGGGCUCAACCCUGGACCUGCAGUGGGUACGGGCAGACUAGAGUGCGGUAGGGGAGAUCGGAAUUCCUGGUGUAGCGGUGAAAUGCGUAGAUAUCGAGAGGAACACCUGCGGCGAAGGCGGGUUGCUGGGCCGACACUGACGCUGAGGCGCGAAAGCCAGGGGAGCGAACGGG